rnacentral:rRNA from 1 species
GACGUAGGGUGGAAGCGUUUUCCCAGCAUUCGGCGUCAAGAGCGCGUAGGCGGCCUGACAGGUCGGUUGUGAAAACUGGAGGCUCAACCUCCAGCUGUCGAUCGAAACCGUCAGGCUAGAGUCCGGGAGAGGAGAGUGGAAUUCCUGGUGUAGCGGUGGAAUGCGCAGAUAUCAGGAGGAACACCAAUGGCUAAGGCAGCUCUCUGGGACGUGACUGACGCUGAGGCGCGAAAGCGUGGGGAGCAAACAGG